UUCGUGCAAAAGUAAUUGUGGUUUUUGCCAUUUAAAAGAUGGCAAAAACUGCAAUCAUUUUUGCACUAACCUA
rnacentral:miRNA from 10 species